rnacentral:miRNA from 4 species
UGAGAUCGUUCAGUACGGCAAU